rnacentral:rRNA from 1 species
CCCGCUGAACUUAAGCAUAUCAAUAAGCGGAGGAAAAGAAACUAACAAGGAUUCCCUUAGUAACUGCGAGUGAAGAGGGAAGAGCUCAAAUUUGAAAUCUGGCGGUCCUUCGGCUGUCCGAGUUGUAGUUUAGAGAAGUGCUAUCCGCGCUGGCCCGUGCAUAAGUUUCUUGGAAAAGAACAUCAUAGAGGGUGACAAUCCCGUCUUUGGCACGGAUCCCAGGGCUUUUGUGAUGCGCUCUCGACGAGUCGAGUUGUUUGGGAAUGCAGCUCUAAAUGGGUGGUAAAUUCCAUCUAAAGCUAAAUAUUGGCGAGAGACCGAUAGCGAACAAGUACCAUGAGGGAAAGAUGAAAAGAACUUUGAAAAGAGAGUUAAACAGUACGUGAAAUUGUUGAAAGGGAAACGCUUGAAGUCAGUCGUGUCCUCUAGGGAUCAAGUCAGCUCUGGCUGGCCGUACUUUCUAGUUGGAUGGGUCAGCAUCAAUUUUGAUCGCUGGAUAAAGGCCUUGGGAAUGUGGCAUCUUCGGAUGUGUUAUAGACCAUGGUUCUGAUACAGCGGUUGGGAUUGAGGAACUCAGCGCGCCUUCGUGGUUGCGUUCAGGAUGCUGGCAUAAUGGCUUUAAUCGACCCGUCUUGAAACACGG